rnacentral:lncRNA from 1 species
UAGUAAUGAGGUUCAAUCUGGUAAGAGUAGAGGAGAGAAAGAGGAAUGACCAACCAAAGCCAUCUGCUACCGUCCCUGCACCAAAGAGAAUCAAAGGUGCAGAACCUCCUCCUACCCAGAUCACAUCCCAAUCUUCUUCAGCGACUCUCUCCGGCCAACUCAGGGAGAAGCAAAGCCUCUUGAGGAUCACCAAAUUCUCCCUGGGCCUUAUCACUGGAAUCCCCACCUCGCCAACCUGCUUUGGUGUGGAUAAAAAAUAACACUACACGACCUACACCGCCUUCCA